rnacentral:rRNA from 1 species
AACGAACGCUGGCGGCAUGCCUAACACAUGCAAGUCGAACGAGACCUUCGGGUCUAGUGGCGCACGGGUGCGUAACGCGUGGGAACCUGCCCUAAGGUUCGGAAUAACUCCCCGAAAGGGGUGCUAAUACCGGAUAAUGUCUUCGGACCAAAGAUUUAUCGCCUUUGGAUGGGCCCGCGUUGGAUUAGCUAGUUGGUAGGGUAAAAGCCUACCAAGGCGACGAUCCAUAGCUGGUCUGAGAGGAUGAUCAGCCACACUGGGACUGAGACACGGCCCAGACUCCUACGGGAGGCAGCAGUGGGGAAUAUUGGACAAUGGGCGAAAGCCUGAUCCAGCAAUGCCGCGUGAGUGAUGAAGGCCUUAGGGUUGUAAAGCUCUUUUACCCGGGAUGAUAAUGACAGUACCGGGAGAAUAAGCUCCGGCUAACUCCGUG